rnacentral:lncRNA from 1 species
AUAUGUCAUUUUGAUGAUUAUCUUUCUUGUGACUUCUAAACAGCUAGAACUAGAGAACUAAUUGUUGAAUGGGGCGUGAUGUAUAAGUUAAUAAGUGUUUUUAUUUCAGACUCAUGAUAGCAGGGAACAUUUAGCAAUGAUGGAAAGGAUUCUUGGACCACUGCCAAAGCACAUGAUUGAGAAAACCAGGAAACGCACAUACUUCCAUCACGAUCGAUUGGAUUGGGAUGAGCACAGUUCUGCUGGCAGAUAUGUUUCUCGGCGCUGUAAGCCUCUGAAGGAGUUUAUGCUGUCUCAGGAUGCCGAGCAUGAGCUUCUCUUUGACCUCAUUGGGAAAAUGUUGGAGUAUGAUCCAGCCAAAAGAAUCACUCUCAAAGAAGCCCUAAAGCAUCCUUUCUUUUACCCGCUUAAAAAGCAUACAUGAUUUAUAAAUAUGGUGCUCUGAAAGAAAUUUUACAGACUGUAUCAGUCUAGAUUUUAAUUUAUUUGUAUAGCUUUGUACACUGAUGUUUUAGAGGCUUUAUGAGAUACAUGGCCAAGCCAUACAACAUCUUUCAGUAAUUAUAGAACGAUUUAUUUGGAAUAAACUUUGUGCUUAUGAAUGUAUAAAGGU